rnacentral:rRNA from 1 species
GUCCACGCUGUAAACGAUGAGCACUAGGUGUAGCGGGUACUCAUUCCUGCUGUGCCGCAGCUAACGCGUUAAGUGCUCCGCCUGGGGAUUACGGUCGCAAGACUAAAACUCAAAGGAAUUGACGGGGGCCCGCACAAGCGGUGGAGUAUGUGGUUUAAUUCGACGCAACGCGAAGAACCUUACCUGGGCUUGACAUCCCCGGCCGGCCAUAGAAAUAUGGAUUUCCCCUUCGGGGGACCGGGAGACAGGUGCUGCAUGGCUGUCGU